rnacentral:tRNA from 1 species
GGAGGGAUGGCAGAGUGGUCUAUUGCGACUGUCUUGAAAACAGUUGGGUUCACAGCCCCGGGGGUUCGAAUCCCUCUCCCUCCG